rnacentral:rRNA from 1 species
GCAAGUCGAACGCGAAAGUCACUUCGGUGGCGAGUAGAGUGGCGAACGGGUGAGUAACACGUGGACAACCUGUCCGGAUGUGGGGGACAACUUUUGGAAACGGAAGCUAAUACCGCAUUCGCUCGGAGAUCGCAUGGUCUCUGAGGAAAGGCCGCUUCGGCGGCCGCAUCCGGAGGGGUCCGCGGCUGAUUAGCUAGUUGGUGGGGUAACGGCUCACCAAGGCGACGAUCAGUAGCCGGCCUGAGAGGGCGAUC